rnacentral:rRNA from 1 species
UGCCGCGUGCAGGAUGAAGGCCUUCGGGUUGUAAACUGCUUUUGUACGGAACGAAACGGCGAGCUCUAAUAAAGUUCGCUAAUGACGGUACCGUAAGAAUAAGCACCGGCUAACUACGUGCCAGCAGCCGCGGUAAUACGUAGGGUGCAAGCGUUAAUCGGAAUUACUGGGCGUAAAGCGUGCGCAGGCGGUGAUGUAAGACAGAUGUGAAAUCCCCGGGCUCAACCUGGGACCUGCAUUUGUGACUGCAUCGCUAGAGUACGGUAGAGGGGGAUGGAAUUCCGCGUGUAGCAGUGAAAUGCGUAAAUAUGCGGAGGAACACCGAUGGCGAAGGCAAUCCCCUGGACCUGUACUGACGCUCAUGCACGAAAGCGUGGGGAGCAAACAGGAUUAGAUACCCUGGUAGUCCACGCCCUAAACGAUGUCAACUGGUUGUUGGGUCUUCACUGACUCAGUAACGAAGCUAA